AGAGUUUGAUCCUGGCUCAGGACGAACGCUGGCGGCGUGCUUAACACAUGCAAGUCGAACGGAGAACUUUCUUCGGAAUGUUCUUAGUGGCGAACGGGUGAGUAACGCGUAGGCAACCUGCCCUCUGGUUGGGGACAACAUUCCGAAAGGGAUGCUAAUACCGAAUGUGAUCCUUCUUUCGCAUGAAGGAAGGAUGAAAGAUGGCCUCUACUUGUAAGCUAUCGCCAGAAGAUGGGCCUGCGUCUGAUUAGCUAGUAGGUGGGGUAACGGCUCACCUAGGCGAUGAUCAGUAGCCGGUCUGAGAGGAUGAACGGCCACAUUGGGACUGAGACACGGCCCAAACUCCUACGGGAGGCAGCAGUGGGGAAUCUUCCGCAAUGGACGAAAGUCUGACGGAGCAACGCCGCGUGAGUGAUGAAGGUCUUCGGAUUGUAAAACUCUGUUGUCAGGGACGAAUGCACCGAUUUAUAAUACACUUUGGUGUUGACGGUACCUGACGAGGAAGCCACGGCUAACUACGUGCCAGCAGCCGCGGUAAUACGUAGGUGGCAAGCGUUGUCCGGAAUUAUUGGGCGUAAAGAGCAUGUAGGCGGGCUUUUAAGUCCGACGUGAAAAUGCGGGGCUUAACCCCGUAUGGCGUUGGAUACUGGGAGUCUUGAGUGCAGGAGAGGAAAGGGGAAUUCCCAGUGUAGCGGUGAAAUGCGUAGAUAUUGGGAGGAACACCAGUGGCGAAGGCGCCUUUCUGGACUGUGUCUGACGCUGAGAUGCGAAAGCCAGGGUAGCAAACGGGAUUAGAUACCCCGGUAGUCCUGGCCGUAAACGAUGGGUACUAGGUGUAGGAGGUAUCGACCCCUUCUGUGCCGGAGUUAACGCAAUAAGUACCCCGCCUGGGGACUACGAUCGCAAGAUUGAAACUCAAAGGAAUUGACGGGGGCCCGCACAAGCGGUGGAGUAUGUGGUUUAAUUCGACGCAACGCGAAGAACC
rnacentral:rRNA from 1 species